rnacentral:rRNA from 1 species
UACGGAGGGUGCGAGCGUUGUCCGGAAUCAUUGGGCGUAAAGGGCGCGUAGGUGGCCCGGUAAGCGUGCGGUGAAAGCUUGGGGCUCAACCUCAGAAUUGCCUCCGAUACUGGCAGUCUCGAGUGCGGGAGAGGUGAGUGGAAUUCCCAGUGUAGAGGUGAAAUUCGUAGAUAUUGGGAAGAACACCAGUGGCGAAGGCGGCUCACUGGCCCGUAACUGACGCUGAGGUGCGAAAGCGUGGGGAGCAAACAGG